rnacentral:rRNA from 1 species
UACGUAGGGUGCAAGCGUUGUCCGGAAUUAUUGGGCGUAAAGAGCUCGUAGGCGGUCUGUCGCGUCGGCUGUGAAAUCCCGGAGCUCAACUCCGGGCCUGCAGUCGAUACGGGCGGACUAGAGUUCGGCAGGGGAGACUGGAAUUCCUGGUGUAGCGGUGAAAUGCGCAGAUAUCAGGAGGAACACCGGUGGCGUAGGCGGGUCUCUGGGCCGAUACUGACGCUGAGGAGCGAAAGCGUGGGGAGCGAACAGG